UACGGAGGGUGCAAGCGUUAUCCGGAUUCACUGGGUUUAAAGGGUGCGUAGGCGGGUAAGUAAGUCCGUGGUGAAAUCUCUGAGCUUAACUCAGAAACUGCCGUGGAUACUAUUUGCCUUUGAAUAUUGUGGAGGUGAGCGGAAUAUGUCAUGUAGCGGUGAAAUGCUUAGAUAUGACAUAGAACACCAAUUGCGAAGGCAGCUCACUACACAAUCAUUGACGCUGAGGCACGAAAGCGUGGGGAUCAAACAGG
rnacentral:rRNA from 1 species